AAGUCGUAACAAGGUUUCCGUAGGUGAACCUGCGGAAGGAUCAUUACAAAUCCAUCCACGUCUCUUUGAGACCACGUUGAAAUGUUCCCCAGACCAGGAGGGUCUCUCUUGCCUUUCGGGCCGCCUCGGCGCGCCUGCCUGGGAGAGGUCCCCCCUGGCCUGGGCUGUGAAACGAGUGUUACUUUGUUGCCCAAAUGUAUCUUGAUUUCCAUCAAACGAAAACUUGUACAACUUAUAACAAUGGAUCUCUAGGCUCUU
rnacentral:misc_RNA from 1 species